rnacentral:lncRNA from 1 species
GAGGGUGCAUGUGCAGGUUCCUGAAAUAAGUUAAGCACGAGGUGAGGUGUGGGUCCUUGUGCCGUUGGAAGCACAAGACUGAAUCAUGUGGUCAGUGGAGGUUAAUCUGAAGGAAGGUUAGUGUUUGUGCUUUAUUGUCUUUGUUUUUAUAGUUGGGAAACUGCAAUAUUCAUUGGUGGUCCCUCAUUGAUGUAUGUUUUGGUCUGCGUUGUUGAGG